CUUCCCCUUCCUUCAUGAUUGUAAAUUUCCUGAGGUCUCCCCAGCCCUGCAGAACUGUGAGUCAAUUAAACCUCUUUCGUUUAUACAUUAACCAGUUUUGGGUAUUUCUCCAUAGCAGUGUGAGAACAGACUAAUACAAAUAGUUUAUGCUCCUUGGUCUUUAUAUAGAGGCAUCUAGGAUUAAAGCAGAGACCCUCUUUAUUGCUUGAAGGAUUCUGUUUUGGGACUCAUCAUUGCCCUGAUGGCUGGCUGCAUCCGGAACACAGAGGAAGAAAGAGUUGCCUUCAAGGACAUGCCAUUUCCAGGAAAAGAGCAAGAAUGUAAAAAAUAAAGAGGUUGAAAUGAGUUUAUGAAGUUACUAAGAACAUUACAAGUGGAAUGAACUCCCUGGAGAUGUGACUCUCAGGAGGGCAGAGCCCUUUGUUCACUUGCCCUAUGGACAGCAUAUUGUACAUCAGUGCUUCCAAAAGGGUGCCUAGACAUACCAGGGGUCCCCAAGACCUUUUAGGGGUACAUGACAUCAAAUAUAUUUUAAUAAUAGUGCCAGGAUGUUAUUUGCCUUUUAAAUUUCCAUUCUUUCACAAGUGUACAGUGGAGUUUUCCAGAAGCUACUCCAAGUAUGGUAUUAUAGCAGAGCAAAUGAAGAAGUAGAUGUGAGAAAUCAGCUGUCUUAAGCCAGAUAGUAGAGAUUUUCAGAAAUGUAAAACAAUGUCAUGUUAAUUUUCUAAAUGUGGGUGUUUUUUGGUUUAGGAAAAUAGUUACUUUUUAUAAAAAUAUAUUAAUUAUGUUAUAAUUAAUUGCUUUAUUGUGAUAA
rnacentral:lncRNA from 1 species